UAGUUACAUUUAUAGUGAUUUUCUAAACUUCUCUUAAGAGUAAUACUACUGUCUUAGUCCUGUCACGUUAACAAAGAAAUUAGGAUAAUUGCAAAACUGUUCAGUGUUUACAAUAUAAGGCUUCAGUAGUUAAUCUAUACAAAGGCUGUUUUGCCUUAAUUUUUUUAUUUUUUUGAAAAGUCUAAAUGUUAUAUUGCACUAAUAAAAUAUAUAUUUUUGCAGGCUUCAAGAGGAUCAGCGUGUGAAGAUCACUUUAUAAUGAUUUGAAAAAGGUUGCCAUGGCUACAGAAAUUGGAGGAGCAUCCUUAGAUGACACAAUACAACCAGCUGUGCGAUUCCUCAUGUCCCAUGAACUGGAAGUCCAGUUCAACCUUUUUGGCCAACAUUGGAAACAAGCUCUUGGACCUGCGUCUCUUUGAUGUUUUGUAUGGGGACUUAAAAGAAAUUAUCCAUCUACAGAAUCACACAAGCAUACAGCAAAGACUCUC